rnacentral:rRNA from 1 species
CAUGAUGAACGCUAGCUACAGGCUUAACACAUGCAAGUCGAGGGGCAGCAUGAACUUAGCUUGCUAAGUUUGAUGGCGACCGGCGCACGGGUGAGUAACACGUAUCCAACCUGCCGAUGACUCGGGGAUAGCCUUUCGAAAGAAAGAUUAAUACCCGAUGGCAUAGUUCUUCCGCAUGGUAGAACUAUUAGAGAAUUUCGGUCAUCGAUGGGGAUGCGUUCCAUUAGGUUGCUGGCGGGGUAACGGCCCACCAAGCCUUCGAUGGAUAGGGGUUCUGAGAGGAAGGUCCCCCACAUUGGAACUGAGACACGGUCCAAACUCCUACGGGAGGCAGCAGUGAGGAAUAUUGGUCAAUGGACGAGAGUCUGAACCAGCCAAGUAGCGUGAAGGAUGACUGCCCUAUGGGUUGUAAACUUCUUUUAUACGGGAAUAAAGUGAGGCACGUGUGCCUUUUUGUAUGUACCGUAUGAAUAAGGAUCGGCUAACUCCGUGCCAGCAGCCGCGGUAAUACGGAGGAUCCGAGCGUUAUCCGGAUUUAUUGGGUUUAAAGGGAGCGUAGGCGGACGCUUAAGUCAGUUGUGAAAGUUUGCGGCUCAACCGUAAAAUUGCAGUUGAUACUGGGUGUCUUGAGUACAGUAGAGGCAGGCGGAAUUCGUGGUGUAGCGGUGAAAUGCUUAGAUAUCACGAAGAACUCCGAUUGCGAAGGCAGCUUGCUGGACUGUGACUGACGCUGAUGCUCGAAAGUGUGGGUAUCAAACAGGAUUAGAUACCCUGGUAGUCCACACAGUAAACGAUGAAUACUCGCUGUUUGCGAUAUACAGUAAGCGGCCAAGUGAAAGCGUUAAGUAUUCCACCUGGGGAGUACGCCGGCAACGGUGAAACUCAAAGGAAUUGACGGGGGCCCGCACAAGCGGAGGAACAUGUGGUUUAAUUCGAUGAUACGCGAGGAACCUUACCCGGGCUUGAAUUGCAACUGAAUGAUGUGGAGACAUGUCAGCCGCAAGGCAGUUGUGAAGGUGCUGCAUGGUUGUCGUCAGCUCGUGCCGUGAGGUGUCGGCUUAAGUGCCAUAACGAGCGCAACCCUUAUCGAUAGUUACCAUCAGGUUAUGCUGGGGACUCUGUCGAGACUGCCGUCGUAAGAUGUGAGGAAGGUGGGGAUGACGUCAAAUCAGCACGGCCCUUACGUCCGGGGCUACACACGUGUUACAAUGGGGGGUACAGAAGGCAGCUACACGGCGACGUGAUGCUAAUCCCUAAAGCCUCUCUCAGUUCGGAUUGGAGUCUGCAACCCGACUCCAUGAAGCUGGAUUCGCUAGUAAUCGCGCAUCAGCCACGGCGCGGUGAAUACGUUCCCGGGCCUUGUACACACCGCCCGUCAAGCCAUGAAAGCCGGGGGUACCUGAAGUGCGUAACCGCAAGGAGCGCCCUAGGGUAA